rnacentral:rRNA from 1 species
AUUGAACGCUGGCGGCAGGCUUAACACAUGCAAGUCGAGCGAGCGGCGGACGGGUGAGUAAUGUCUGGGAAACUGCCUGAUGGAGGGGGAUAACUACUGGAAACGGUAGCUAAUACCGCAUACCAUCAGAUGUGCCCAGAUGGGAUUAGCUAGUAGGUGGGGUAAUGGCUCACCUAGUCACAGAUCCCUAGCUGGUCUGAGAGGAUGACCAGCCACACUGGAACUGGGAAACUGUCCAGACUCCUACGGUAGGCAGCAGUGGGGAAUAUUGCACAAGUGGCGCAAGCCUGAUACAGCCAUGCCGCGUGUGUGAAGAAGGCCUUCGGGUUGUAAAGCACUUUCAGCGAGGAGGCGUUACUCGCAGAAGAAGCACCGGCUAACUCCGUGCCAGCAGCCGCGGUAAUUC